GGUCAAGUGAAGAAGCGCAUACGGUGGAUGCCUUGGCAGUCAGAGGCGAUGAAAGACGUGGUAGCCUGCGAAAAGCUUCGGGGAGUCGGCAAACAGACUGUGAUCCGGAGAUGUCUGAAUGGGGGAACCCAGCCAUCAUAAGAUGGUUAUCUUGUACUGAAUACAUAGGUGCAAGAGGCGAACCAGGGGAACUGAAACAUCUAAGUACCCUGAGGAAAAGAAAUCAACCGAGAUUCCCUUAGUAGUGGCGAGCGAACGGGGACCAGCCCUUAAGUUGUAUUGAGAUUAGCGGAACGUUCUGGAAAGGACGGCCAUAGUGGGUGAUAGCCCUGUACGCGAAAAUCCCUUUGCAAUGAAAUCGAGUAGGACGGGGCACGAGAAACCUUGUCUGAAUAUGGGGGGACCAUCCUCCAAGGCUAAAUACUACUGACUGACCGAUAGUGAACCAGUACCGUGAGGGAAAGGCGAAAAGAACCGCGGAGAGCGGAGUGAAAUAGAUCCUGAAACCGUAUGCGUACAAGCAGUGGGAGCCCACUUGUUGGGUGACUGCGUACCUUUUGUAUAAUGGGUCAGCGACUUAUUUUCAGUGGCGAGCUUAACCGAAUAGGGGAGGCGUAGCGAAAGCGAGUCUUAAUAGGGCGUCUAGUCGCUGGGAAUAGACCCGAAACCGGGCGAUCUAUCCAUGGGCAGGUUGAAGGUUGGGUAACACUAACUGGAGGACCGAACCGACUACCGUUGAAAAGUUAGCGGAUGACCUGUGGAUCGGAGUGAAAGGCUAAUCAAGCUCGGAGAUAGCUGGUUCUCCUCGAAAGCUAUUUAGGUAGCGCCUCAUGUAUCACUGUAGGGGGUAGAGCACUGUUUCGGCUAGGGGGUCAUCCCGACUUACCAAACCGAUGCAAACUCCGAAUACCUACAAGUGCCGAGCAUGGGAGACACACGGCGGGUGCUAACGUCCGUCGUGAAAAGGGAAACAACCCAGACCGUCAGCUAAGGUCCCAAAGUCAUGGUUAAGUGGGAAACGAUGUGGGAAGGCUUAGACAGCUAGGAGGUUGGCUUAGAAGCAGCCACCCUUUAAAGAAAGCGUAAUAGCUCACUAGUCGAGUCGGCCUGCGCGGAAGAUGUAACGGGGCUCAAACCAUGCACCGAAGCUACGGGUAUCAUCUUAUGAUGAUGCGGUAGAGGAGCGUUCUGUAAGCCUGUGAAGGUGAGUUGAGAAGCUUGCUGGAGGUAUCAGAAGUGCGAAUGCUGACAUGAGUAACGACAAUGGGUGUGAAAAACACCCACGCCGAAAGACCAAGGUUUCCUGCGCAACGUUAAUCGACGCAGGGUUAGUCGGUCCCUAAGGCGAGGCUGAAAAGCGUAGUCGAUGGAAAACAGGUUAAUAUUCCUGUACUUCUGGUUAUUGCGAUGGAGGGACGGAGAAGGCUAGGCCAGCCUGGCGUUGGUUGUCCAGGUUUAAGGUGGUAGGCUGAGAUCUUAGGUAAAUCCGGGAUCUUAAGGCCGAGAGCUGAUGACGAGUGUUCUUUUAGAACACGAAGUGGUUGAUGCCAUGCUUCCAAGAAAAGCUUCUAAGCUUCAGGUAACCAGGAACCGUACCCCAAACCGACACAGGUGGUUGGGUAGAGAAUACCAAGGCGCUUGAGAGAACUCGGGUGAAGGAACUAGGCAAAAUGGCACCGUAACUUCGGGAGAAGGUGCGCCGGUGGAGGUGAAGCAUUUACUGCGUAAGCCCCUGCCGGUCGAAGAUACCAGGCCGCUGCGACUGUUUAUUAAAAACACAGCACUCUGCAAACACGAAAGUGGACGUAUAGGGUGUGACGCCUGCCCGGUGCCGGAAGGUUAAUUGAUGGGGUUAGCGCAAGCGAAGCUCUUGAUCGAAGCCCCGGUAAACGGCGGCCGUAACUAUAACGGUCCUAAGGUAGCGAAAUUCCUUGUCGGGUAAGUUCCGACCUGCACGAAUGGCGUAACGAUGGCGGCGCUGUCUCCACCCGAGACUCAGUGAAAUUGAAAUCGCUGUGAAGAUGCAGUGUAUCCGCGGCUAGACGGAAAGACCCCGUGAACCUUUACUAUAGCUUUGCACUGGACUUUGAAUUUGCUUGUGUAGGAUAGGUGGGAGGCUUUGAAGCGUGGACGCCAGUCUGCGUGGAGCCAACCUUGAAAUACCACCCUGGCAACUUUGAGGUUCUAACUCAGGUCCGUUAUCCGGAUCGAGGACAGUGUAUGGUGGGUAGUUUGACUGGGGCGGUCUCCUCCUAAAGAGUAACGGAGGAGUACGAAGGUGCGCUCAGACCGGUCGGAAAUCGGUCGUAGAGUAUAAAGGCAAAAGCGCGCUUGACUGCGAGACAGACACGUCGAGCAGGUACGAAAGUAGGUCUUAGUGAUCCGGUGGUUCUGUAUGGAAGGGCCAUCGCUCAACGGAUAAAAGGUACUCCGGGGAUAACAGGCUGAUACCGCCCAAGAGUUCAUAUCGACGGCGGUGUUUGGCACCUCGAUGUCGGCUCAUCACAUCCUGGGGCUGAAGCCGGUCCCAAGGGUAUGGCUGUUCGCCAUUUAAAGUGGUACGCGAGCUGGGUUUAGAACGUCGUGAGACAGUUCGGUCCCUAUCUGCCGUGGACGUUUGAGAUUUGAGAGGGGCUGCUCCUAGUACGAGAGGACCGGAGUGGACGAACCUCUGGUGUUCCGGUUGUCACGCCAGUGGCAUUGCCGGGUAGCUAUGUUCGGAAAAGAUAACCGCUGAAAGCAUCUAAGCGGGAAACUUGCCUCAAGAUGAGAUCUCACUGGAACCUUGAGUUCCCUAAAGGGCCGUCGAAGACUACGACGUUGAUAGGUUGGGUGUGUAAGCGCUGUGAGGCGUUGAGCUAACCAAUACUAAUUGCCCGUGAGGCUUGACCAUAUAACACCC
rnacentral:rRNA from 1 species